rnacentral:rRNA from 1 species
AACGAACGCUGGCGGCGUGCCUAACACAUGCAAGUCGAACGAAGGCUUCGGCCUUAGUGGCGCACGGGUGCGUAACGCGUGGGAAUCUGCCCUCAGGUACGGAAUAACUCAGGGAAACUUGAGCUAAUACCGUAUAAUGACUUCGGUCCAAAGAUUUAUCGCCUGGGGAUGAGCCCGCGUCGGAUUAGCUAGUUGGUAGAGUAAAAGCCUACCAAGGCGACGAUCCGUAGCUGGUCUGAGAGGAUGAUCAGCCACACUGGGACUGAGACACGGCCCAGACUCCUACGGGAGGCAGCAGUGGGGAAUAUUGGACAAUGGGCGCAAGCCUGAUCCAGCAAUGCCGCGUGAGUGAUGAAGGCCCUAGGGUUGUAAAGCUCUUUUACCCGGGAAGAUAAUGACUGUACCGGGAGAAUAAGCCCCGGCUAACUCCGUGCCAGCCGCCGCCGUAAUAC